rnacentral:rRNA from 1 species
GACGAACGCUGGCGGCGUGCUUAACACAUGCAAGUCGAACGGAAAGGCCCUGCUUUUUUGUGGUUCUCGAGUGGCGAACGGGUGAGUAACACGUGAAUAACCUUCCUUUGACUUUGGAAUAACUUCAGGAAACUGGGGCUAAUGCCUGAUAGGAGCUCCUGCUGCAUGGUGGGGGUUGGAAAGUUUGGGUGUUUGGGGAUGGACUUGGGGCUUAUCAGCUUGUUGGUGGGGUAGUGGCUUACCGAGUCAUUGACGGGUAGCCGGCCUGAGAGGGUGACCGGCCACAUUGCGACUGAGAUACGGCGCAGACUGGUACGGGAGGCAGCAGUCGGGAACAUGACACAAUGGGCGGAAGCGUGAUGCGACAACGCCGCGUGCGGGAUGCAGGCCUUGGUGUUGUAAAGCGCAUUAGCCUGUGACGAAGCGUGAGUGACGGUAAUGGGUAAAGAAGCACCGGCUAACUACGUG